rnacentral:rRNA from 1 species
GAUGAACGCUGGCGGCGUGCCUAAUACAUGCAAGUCGAGCGAACGGACGAGAAGCUUGCUUCUCUGAUGUUAGCGGCGGAAGGGUGAGUAACACGUGGAUAACCUACCUAUAAGACUGGGAUAACUUCGGGAAACCGGAGCUAAUACCGGAUAAUAUUUUGAACCGCAUGGUUCAAAAGUGAAAGACGGUCUUGCUGUCACUUAUAGAUGGAUCCGCGCUGCAUUAGCUAGUUGGUAAGGUAACGGCUUACCAAGGCAACGAUGCAUAGCCGACCUGAGAGGGUGAUCGGCCGCACUGGAACUGAGACGCGGUCCAGACUCCUACGGGAGGCAGCAGUGGGGAAUCUUCCGCAAUGGGCGAAAGCCUGACGGAGCAACGCCGCGGGAGUGAUGAAGGUCUUCGGAUCGUAAGACGCCGUUAUUAGGGAAGAACAUAUGUGUAAGUAACUGUGCACAUCUUGACGGUACCUAAUCAGAAAGCCACGGCUAACUACGUG